GAUGAACGCUGGCGGCGUGCCUAAUACAUGCAAGUCGAGCGAACAGACGAGGAGCUUGCUCCUCUGACGUUAGCGGCGGACGGGUGAGUAACACGUGGAUAACCUACCUAUAAGGCUGGGAUAACUUCGGGAAACCGGAGCUAAUACCGGAUAAUAUAUUGAACCGCAUGGUUCAAUAGUGAAAGACGGUUUUGCUGUCACUUAUAGAUGGAUCCGCGCCGCAUUAGCUAGUUGGUAAGGUAACGGCUUACCAAGGCAACGAUGCGUAGCCGACCUGAGAGGGUGAUCGGCCACACUGGAACUGAGACACGGUCCAGACUCCUACGGGAGGCAGCAGUAGGGAAUCUGCCGCAAUGGGCGAAAGCCUGACGGAGCAACGCCGCGUGAGUGAUGAAGGUCUUCGGAUCGUAAAACUCUGUUAUUAGGGAAGAACAAAUGUGUAAGUAACUAUGCACGUCUUGACGGUACCUAAUCAGAAAGCCACGGCUAACUACGUG
rnacentral:rRNA from 1 species